rnacentral:rRNA from 1 species
CCUACGGGCGGCAGCAGUGGGGAAUAUUGCGCAAUGGGCGAAAGCCUGACGCAGCGACGCCGCGUGAGGGAUGAAGGUCUUCUGAUCGUAAACCUCUGUCAGCAGGGAAGAACGGUCCCUGUGCUACUCAGCCGUGAAUUGACGGUACCUGCAAAGGCAGCACCGGCUAACUCCGUGCCAGCAGCCGCGGUAAUACGGCGGGUGCGAGCGUUAAUCGGAAUUACUGGGGGUAAAGCGCUCGUAGGCGGUAUGUCAAGUCAAGGGUGAAAUCCCCGCGCUCAACGUGGGAACUGCCUUUGAAACUGGCAAACUGGAGUGUGUGAGAGGAUAGUGGAAUUCCAGGUGUAGGAGUGAAAUCCGUAGAUAUCUGGAGGAACAUCAGUGGCGAAGGCGACUAUCUGGCACAUAACUGACGCUGAGGAGCGAAAGCGUGGGUAGCAAACAGGAUUAGAUACCCUUGUAGUC